rnacentral:rRNA from 1 species
AAUAUUGCACAAUGGGGGAAACUCUGAUGCAGCGACGCCGCGUGAGCGAAGAAGGUCUUCGGGUCGUAAAGCUCUGUCCUAGGGGAAGAAACGGACUGUACCUUAGGACGAAGCGCCGGCUAACUACGUGCCAGCAGCCCCGGUAACACGUAGGGGGCAAGCGUUAUCCCGAAUUAGUGGGCGUAAAGCGCGCGGAGGCGGUCUUUUAAGUCAGAUGUGAAAAACCACGGCUUAAACGUGGGGUUGCAUUUGAAACUGGAGGGCUUGAGUAUCGGAGAGGGUAGUGGAAUUCCCAGUGUAGCGGUAGAAUGCGUAGAUAUUGGGAGGAACACCAGUGGCGAAGGCGACUAGCUGGACGAAAACUGACGCUGAGGCACGAAAGCUAGGGGAGCAAACA